rnacentral:rRNA from 1 species
UACGUAGGGUCCGAGCGUUGUCCGGAUUUAUUGGGCGUAAAGAGCGUGUAGGCGGCCAGGUAGGUCUGCUGUGAAAACUCGAGGCUUAACCUCGAGAUGUCGGCGGAAACCAUCUGGCUAGAGUCCGGAAGAGGAGAGCGGAAUUCCUGGUGUAGCGGUGAAAUGCGCAGAUAUCAGGAGGAACACCGGUGGCGAAGGCGGGAUCCUGGGCCAGUACUGACGCUGAGACGCGAAGGCGCGGGAGGCGAACGGG